rnacentral:rRNA from 1 species
UACGGAGGAUCCGAGCGUUAUCCGGAAUUAUUGGGUUUAAAGGGUGCGUAGGCGGCCAUUUAAGUCAGCGGUGAAAUUUUGCAGCUUAACUGUAACAGUGCCGUUGAUACUGUUUGGCUAGGAUUUGGUUGUAGUGUGCGGAAUGUGUGGUGUAGCGGUGAAAUGCUUAGAUAUCACACAGAACACCGAUUGCGAAGGCAGCUUACUAAUCCAUCAUUGACGCUGAGGCACGAAAGCGUGGGGAUCAAACAGGAUUAGAUA